CCAAAGGCUCUUUUAAGAGCCACCCAUUUAGUCUCAAAAAGAGCUG
rfam:Leptosomus discolor contig53735, whole genome shotgun sequence.